rnacentral:rRNA from 1 species
AGUAGGGGAAUAUUCCGCAAUGGGCGAAAGCCUGACGGAGCAACGCCGCGUGAGUGAAGAAGGUCUUCGGAUCGUAAAGCUCUGUCAACAGGGACGAAACAAGACGGUACCUGAGAAGGAAGCCACGGCAAACUACGUGCCAGCAGCCGCGGUAAUACGUAGGUGGCAAGCGUUGUCCGGAAUAACUGGGCGUAAAGCGCAUGUAGACGGCAUGAUAAGCCAAAUGUGAAAUGUAGGGGCUCAACCCCUACACUGCGAUUGGAACUGUCAAGCUUGAGUGCAGGAGAGGCAAAUGGAAUUCCCAGUGUAGCAGUGAAAUGCGUAGAGAUUGGGAGGAACACCAGUGGCGAAGGCGAUUUGCUGGACUGCAACUGACGUUGAGAUGCGAAAGCCAGGGGAGCAAACGGGAUUAGAUACCCCGGUAGUCCUGGCCGUAAACGAUGGAUACUAGGUGUAGAGGGUAUCGACCCCUUCUGUGCCGCAGUAGAACGCAAUAAGUAUCCC